CCUACGGGAGGCAGCAGUGAGGAAUAUUGGUCAAUGGGCGCGAGCCUGAACCAGCCAAGUAGCGUGAAGGAUGACUGUCCUACGGGUUGUAAACUUCUUUUAUAAAGGAAUAAAGUGAGGCACGUGUGCCUUUUUGUAUGUACUUUAUGAAUAAGCAUCGGCUAACUCCGUGCCAGCAGCCGCGGUAAUACGGAGGAUCCGAGCGUUAUCCGGAUUUAUUGGGUUUAAAGGGUGCGUAGGCGGUUUUUUAAGUUAGUGGUGAAACGUCGGGGCUCAACCUUGAUGUGCCAUUGAUACUGGGAGACUCGAGUUCAGACGAGGUAGGCGGAAUGAGUGGAGUAGCGGUGAAAUGCUUAGAUAUAGCGUAGAACUCCGAUAGCGAAGGCAGCUUACCGGACUGCGACUGACGCUGAGGCACGAGAGCGUGGGUAGCGAACAGGAUUAGAUACCCGAGUAGUC
rnacentral:rRNA from 1 species